AUCUUAAAAGACAGCAGUGUGUGGGACAGAUCUUUUGUGGAAGAGAGUUCCAUAGUUGGAGUGCUGGUUAAAUGGAGAUAAAUCAUUAAAUCUCAAAGAGUUGCAUUGAGAUUGUAUAAAGUGGCCAAAUGGACUUCAGCAUCCAUCGACACUGUAAAAAUAAUGCAGUUUGACACCACUUUACAGCACGUAACUUCAUCUGGUGGAAUCCUAGACCUUUAGCCUUCUCUGCUAAAGAGUGCUGGUGCCUUACAAAACUGCAAACCCCAGGAUUGUGUAGGAUGGAGCCAGGGCAGUUAAAGUGGUGUAAAACUGCAUUAUUUAUGCAGUAUUUAUAUUUAUACAAAUGCACCCUUAAUCUGAUACUUGCAAAUGCUCAGAGAAACAGAUUGUAUGAAGUAGUGGUUUUGUAGCAGUGAUGGGGGAAAUGAAUGACUAGUACUGUUGGAUUGUUAUUCCCAUCAUCCAUCACAUUAUCUGUUCUGUCUAGAGCUUAAUGGAGUUGUAGUCCAGCAGCAACUGAAAAGCCACACAUCCCCACAUCCCAGAGGCAGGGUGUUGGACUGGAGUCUUGGGUUCAGAUCCAAUGUUGGGGUGGAGACAAGUGGGUGGCCUUAGGCAAGUCACUCUGACCAACCUACCUUGCAGGGGGACUGAGGAUAAAAUGUAAGAGGUAGAAAGGAAAGAAAUAGUGUGCUGUGAGGAACAGCAGUGCCGGGCUGGGAUGCAGGGCCUCUUGAAGGCACUCUUUUGCUACUGCCGCUGCUGGAGACUUGACAUGGGCCCUAAUCUGCACUAGAAAUUAAUGUCCUUUUCACCAGAGAUGUUGAUAAAGUCUUCCAUUUCACCCCUCCUUUGCAGCCAUCUCUGACAGCCGCUCUCUUCUCUCUUGCAGUACCUUCUCCACUAUUUACUCUCCCUGAAGCAUUGGAUGAACCGGCACAGCUGGGACCGGACCCCGGUGGCAGUAGCAGCAUGGGCCUUGUUGCGUGACAGCUACCAUGGGCCCCUGUGCCUCCGGCAUGCCCCACAGCAUAUUGCUGUCACUGCCCUUUACCUUGCUCUUCAGUGUUAUGGGGUGGAGAUGCCAGCUGAGGUGGAAGCUGAACGGCCUUGGUGGCAGGUGUUCAGUGAAGAUCUCUCCAAGAGCAUAAUUGAUCAGAUCGUCUUGGACUUGAUAAAGAUCUAUACAUUGGAUGCUGAGAUUGCUUAGGUGCAGAAAUACGGUUGGCUGAGUCACUUCAAACAGGGAUUGAGGAGGUAACAAGAUGGCCCCCCCAACUGAAGAAACUGGCACCAGAUUACUAUCUUGCAUUGCUUUGAGCCUUCCAUCUGAACAGAAUCAGGUUCAGAUCAGCAUCUAUGGCUCGACAGAGAUGGUACACUCCUGGAUUGGGUUGUUCCUGAUCCAUGGUUCAUCUCCAGUCUUCCCCUUCAACCAACGGAAAGCUGUUUAUCCUGCUAAUUCUGAUACUGGAUUAGGAAUCUUGGGUUGCAGGAAAUAAGGGGGAUGAUCCCUGUUUUCUCCUACAUGUUCACACCAGUUACACAUGAAAUGUGCUGCCAGGAUAUUUCCUCCACCUCUUUCUCUGGUAUUAUUGCCCAAAGUGGUAGCACAGCCCCUGCUUUCCUGCUCCAAUGCUGCUGCAAGUGUGACAUAAUCAGGUUAGACAGGAGUAAAUCCUGGAUGUGGUCCUGAGCUGCUGAGACCUUGCAGUGUGCAGGCUGAUGUCACUGAUGUGAUUUCUUCAGUAAAUGGAAGGGGAAAAUGGGACUUGCACUGGAGUGCUGCUUUUGCAUCUUAGACGUUUCUGACCCCAGUGGUGUGACAUGUUCAGAGAAGUACUAAAGUGAAAGGAUAAAGUUCCUGAACACAGAUUUAGAAAAGGUUUCUCCAGAGGUGGUUUGUGUCUGUCUGCAUCUGUGUGUCUGUCUGUUUACAUGUUUGUAGAAUCAAAGAUUUAGUCCAGCCAUCCAGAUAUUGUUGGACAGCAUCUCUCAUCCCUAGGCAGCAUAUCAGUGUUGGGGGUCAUGGAGUUUGCACCUGGAGAUCCACAAAUUCCCUAUGCUGGAUCUAGACAGGCCACACAUACCAUUUUCUACAGCCCAGUUUACAGGCAAGAGGGUGCACCUCUUGUAUUCCUCCUCCAUGAUUUAGAGACUCUGGAUGAAAUAAAGGCAAGAAGGCUUUGAUCUCCUGGAAAUGGAAGAGAACACAGGGAAGAAGAAGGAGGAGGAAGAGAAAGAAGGGGCAUAGGAAGGUUAUUCUAAGCAAGAUUGUUUUCUCUGUGUCUUGGAAGAUAUUCCAGGAGUCUCAGGUUGCAUCUAUACUGCAGAAACAAAGCAGCAUGACACCACUUUAAAUGCCAUGGCUCCAUCCUACAGAAACGUAGGAUUUGUAGGUUUCUGAGGCACCAGCACUCUUUGACAGAGAAGGCUAAAGACAUUGUAAAACUACAAAUCUCAGGUUUCCGUAGCACAGAACUACAACACCUAAAGUGGUGUCAAAGUGGAUUACUUUUGCACCCCAUGUGUGAUUUCUAGGGGGGCAUGCCCCUCUGCAUGAUUUUAAAAAUGCUAAUUAAGUAAGCAUCACCCAGGCAGGCUUCCCGGAGAACCCCAAGUGACUUAACACUCCCUAUGAGGUGAAUGCUCUUGGGUUUGCUGCAAUACAAUGUGUGAAAUGGCCUCGGGCUUCUACUAGAAACUGCCAGUAUAUUUUGGAGACUUGGGAACUUAAAACUGGUAUCCUCUCAGUAUUCCUGGUACAGUAGACAAAAUGGUGAAAUAAAGAUUAAGGGUAUAGUUUGCUAUGCCCAAGAGGGGCUUCCUGGUGCUAACUAAGGCAAGGGACACUAAUCCAUUUACUCAUGUGCACUUCUGGCCAAAGAUAGGAACGUGUAGAUUCCAGGCAAGGCAAUCCUAAUUCUGUCCCAGGAGACGGGGGCUUGGAGAAAUAAUGCGUCUCGAGCAGUAUUUGCAAACAGUGAAAUCUAGCAUAGUUCUAGUUAGGGAUUAGUCACAAUGAAAGGUUGACGGGCUACCCUUAAAGCACAGUUCCAUAAUUCACAGGGGCUAGAAAUUUGCUUUUUUUAUAAACCAAAGCUAAAAUAUGGCAAAAGCACUAGGUUCUAUGGCUGUUUGUAUAUUCUCUUCUAUUUGUGAAAAGUAGCAUACAAAAGUCAGCAUGGUGUAGUGGCUUGAGCAUUAGAUUAUGACUCUGGAGAACAGGAUUCAAAUCCCAGCUCGGCCAUGAAAUCCACUGAGUGAUCUUGGGCAAAUCACAUUCUCUCAUCCUUAAAGGAAGGUAAUGGGCAAACCCUCUCUGAAGAAACACACCACUCCGUAAUAGAUUCGCUUUAGGAUUAUCGUAAGUCAGAAACUACUUAAAAGCACACAACAACAGCAUACACACAGCCUCAUUUCUGCACCAGGAGUCUAGAUUCUGUCUGUGACAAGUACUAAAGGUUGUCAGAACCAGCUGACUGAGUUCCCAGUCUGGUCAGUGCAGAACAUUUCAGUCCAGGGAAUUGAAUCUCUACCUUUCCUUCUUGGGCCCUAUGUUUACAGCUGUAGACUGAGUAAAAAGGCCAGUAAAAUGAUUAGAAACAACUGUUGGGUGAUGCCUUUAUUAGGAAUAACUGGACUGCCACAAAAAACAAAGCUUUUGAAGUCAGAUCUCUUCACACAUCCCCUACUUUUGGUACCACUUAGGCAGCAUUUACCCUGCAGAAUUAAUGCAUGUGGACACUGCUUUAGCUGCCAUGGCUCAAUGCCACGGAAUUCUGGGAUUUGCAGCUUUGUGAGAUAUUUAUCCUCCUCUGUCAGAGAGCUCUGGUGCCACAACAAACUACAAAACUCAGGGUUCCAUAGGAUGGAACCAUCACGGUUUCCAUAAGAUUGAACAAUGCUUUCAGUGUCAAACUGUAUUAAUUCUGCAGUGCUGCAGCAGCCUUAGUCUGGUAAAGAGUUCUGAAGAAUUCCGUAACUUGCAUCCUUUUGUGGCAUUUUUGGCAAUCUAAUAAAGUUAUUACCCAACUAUGGAUUUUGGGUUUUAUUUUGGACCGAGAAAGUUCUCUUUCUGUGUGUGUGUGUGUGUGUUUUAAGAUAUUGGAGUCAGAAACUGUGGAGGCUGUCACUUUUACAGUGGAAUCUGCUACAUGUUUACUCAGGACAAAGUCCCAGUGUAUUCAGUGGGCUUUACAGACUCAUGUAGGACUUCACUGGUAGUUUUAGAAAACCACACUAAGGGUAUGUGACAUUGGUGUAGAACCUUAUGAAACUGGAGGCAGACUAAGUAGGGGGAGGAAAGUGUGUACAUACUGUUCCAAAGCACUGGAGCUCAGUUUUAUCCUAUUGCACUAAAAGAGAGUAGAUCCAGGUGAAACAGCUGUAUCUCCUGCCAGUAUAUAAUAAUUCUUAUCAAUUCCAUUUCCUUAGCUAGACAGUAAAGAAAGCUGAGAGGAAGAAAAUCAACACAUUUGAUCUGCUCUGCUGGAAGAGAGUUCUGCUGACACCCUGGGCUGCCAAAAUGAUUAAUAAAUGAGCCCAAGAGUAAAUAGAGCCUGAAUGUUGCCUAGAAGCCAAAAUAACUGAGGCAAGUGUACUUUGAACAUAUCAUGAAACAACAUGACUCAGAAAGAGACAAUAAUGCUUAGUAAAGUGGAUGGCAGUAGGAAAAGAGGAAGACCACACUACAAAUGGAUAGACUCAAGCAAGAAAGUCACCACCCUAAGUUUUUAGGACUUGAGCUUGGCUGUUGAUGACAGGAUAUCAUGCAAGUAUCUCAACUGUGGUGCCACCAUAAAUCUAAGGCCCAAAACAGACUGCAGAAAUAAUCCAGUUUGAGACCACUUUAACUGUCCUGGCUCAAUGCUAGGGAAUUCUGGCAACUGUAAUUGUGUAAGACGUUUAGCCUUCUCUAUUAGAGAUCUCUAGUGCCACAAUAAACUUCAAUUCCCAGGAUUCCCUAGCACUGAGCCAAGGCAGUUAAGUCAUUUGAUGCAAGAAAGAGGUCCGCUAGAUCAGAUCAAAGGUCUGUCUAGUCCAGCACUGGAUCCACACAGUGGCCAGACAGAUGCCCCAAUGAGAAGCCCAUUGGUGGGGCACAAGGGUUGCUGACAGACUGUACAUUUUUUGAGAACUGGUCCAGUGAGUGGUUCAAAUGUUCACUCUUGCUAUUUUCAGUUCUGUUCUGUAAAUCCAGUUUGAGAGGUUUUCCCACAGUGAGUGGCACAUACUCAAAUGUUUUUCUUUCUUUCUUUAAAUAAAAUGGCCAGAAGCUGUCAUUCCCCCCCCCCCACUUUCCUACUUAUCCGAAUGCAGAAACAGAGCUUGGAAGUAAUGUAUAUACUGUAUUACUUGAAUACAUUAUUAAAAUAAUUGCAUUACUUGAAACAUUCUACUUUUUUAGUAAUUAAGGGGCUCUACACACAGCCUCCAGCCGCCCCUUUUACAGUCAGUUCGGCACUGUGGCAACUGCAUGCCACAGCCGCAAUCUGGUCUUUCCAGCGCACAAAAAAGAACUGCAAAAAGCAACUCCUUUUUGCGCCCUGGAAAGGGAAUGAUAGCUGCAGCACUGCGGCUUUACAUUGCUCCUUCGGUGCCACAUCAUGCAGGAGCAGUGCCAGAGCGCUGUAGCACUGUGCGGUAUUACGCUGCCCCCAAGCCGCCCCAAACUGCUAGUGUGCGCGGGGGCCUUAGCGACGUUAUUGUUCCUUUUAAUUGUAACAAUAAUAGCAUAAAUACUUCACUACUUGUGUAACAUUUGGAAUAACAUUUACGUGUUAUUGCAAUAAUGUUAUUUGAGAUAUCUGGGGUUGGGGGAGCAUUUUUGUGAUUAAUUAAAAUAAAAUUGUUAACAUUUGUAA